rnacentral:rRNA from 1 species
UUUUAGUACCGUAGCUAACGCGUGAAGUUGACCGCCUGGGGAGUACGGCCGCGAGGUUAAAACUCAAAGGAAUUGACGGGGACCCGCACAAGCGGUGGAUGAUGUGGAUUAAUUCGAUGCAACGCGAAAAACCUUACCUACCCUUGACAUGUUCAGAAGCUUGAAGAGAUUUGAGUGUGCCCGAAAGGGAACUGGAACACAGGUGCUGCAUGGCUGUCGUCAGCUCGUGUCGUGAGAUGUUGGGUUAAGUCCCGCAACGAGCGCAACCCUUGUCGUUAAUUGCCAUCAUUAGGUUGGGCACUUUAACGAGACUGCCGGUGACAAACCGGAGGAAGGUGGGGAUGACGUCAAGUCCUCAUGGCCCUUAUGGGUAGGGCUUCACACGUCAUACAAUGGUCGGUACAGAGGGUUGCCAAGCCGCGAGGUGGAGCCAAUCCCAGAAAGCCGAUCGUAGUCCGGAUCGUUGUCUGCAACUCGACUGCGUGAAGUCGGAAUCGCUAGUAAUCGCGGAUCAGCAUGUCGCGGUGAAUACGUUCCCGGGUCUUGUACACACCGCCCGUCACACCAUGGGAGCGGGUUCCGCCAGAAGUAGGUAGCCUAACCGCAAGGAGGGCGCUUACCACGGCGGGGUUCGUGACUGGGGUGAAGUCGUAACAAGGUAGCCGUAGGGGAACCUGCGGCUGGAUCACCUCCUU